rnacentral:rRNA from 1 species
AUUGAACGCUGGCGGCAUGCCUUACACAUGCAAGUCGAACGGCAGCACGGGAGCUUGCUCCUGGUGGCGAGUGGCGAACGGGUGAGUAAUCCAUCGGAACGUACCCUGAAGUGGGGGAUAACGUAGCGAAAGUUACGCUAAUACCGCAUAUUCUGUGAGCAGGAAAGAGGGGGAUCGCAAGACCUCUUGCUUUAGGAGCGGCCGAUGUCGGAUUAGCUAGUUGGUGAGGUAAAGGCUCACCAAGGCGACGAUCCGUAGCGGGUCUGAGAGGAUGAUCCGCCACACUGGGACUGAGACACGGCCCAGACUCCUACGGGAGGCAGCAGUGGGGAAUUUUGGGACAAUGGGCGCAAGCCUGAUCCAGCCAUGCCGCGUGAGUGAAGAAGGCCUUCGGGUUGUAA